CAAUAGCGUAUAUUAAAGUUGUUGCAGUUAAAAAGCUCGUAGUUGAAUUUUUGCUUGCCGCCGAUGUCGGAACUUCCGUACGUUCGGCGGCGUGCAUCCUUGGGUGGAACCUGUGUGGCAUUAGGUUGUCGUGCAGGGGAUGCUCAUCGUUUACUGUGAAAAAAUUAGAGUGUUCAAAGCAGGCUUACGCCGUUGAAUAUAUUAGCAUGGAAUAAUAAGAUAGGACCUUGGUACUAUUUUGUUGGUUUGCGCACCGAGGUAAUGAUUAACAGGGACAGUUGGGGGUAUUCGUAUUCCAUUGUCAGAGGUGAAAUUCUUGGAUUUCUGGAAGACGAACUACUGCGAAAGCAUUUACCAAGGAUGUUUUCAUUAC
rnacentral:rRNA from 1 species